GGGCCUUAUGGGCAUACUCACCGUCAGGCCUUGGGACCCAGACCUUGAGCUGUUUAAGGGGCCCCCAAAAAAUGGAGCUGCUUCUCAUUCUACUAGAACUUUGAAUUUUGUGAUCACAGUUACAAACAGCCUUCAGAGAACCUGUUCUACACCAGACCAGUGGAGCCAAACUGCAGCCCAUCAUCAUCCUCAUCUGGUUGUAAGUAGGCAAUCCAGUGUAUUAUUAGUGACACUAAUCUAUAAUUUACCUCACAUUAAAGGGACAUUAUAAUCCCCAGAACCACUUCAGCUUAAUGAAGUGGUUCUGGUAUCUAUAGCCGGUCCCUGCAGGCUUUUAAAGGUAAACACACACUGUGUGCAGCAUUGGCAUUAGUUCAUAUGGCAGAUCAUAUAGGUGGGGCAUUGUGAAGUCACAUGGGGGGGCGGCAAAUUUUUCUUUUGCCUAGGGCAGCAAAAAUCCUUGCACCGGCUCUGAUCCUGGGCAGAUGCACCAGUCUACUGGUGACCCACAGGAGGGCAGUGUACUGAACUCUCCUCCUGCUCAGACCUGUCUUUACUGCAGUGCAAGUGCCCUCUGCCCCUAAUUUACAGUGGCUCACACUCACAACAAGCAGUGCCUGGAGCCCUUUGCAGAGACUGGAACAAAG